ACGCUCGGCCACUCCGCAAGCACCAAACACGGUGUCCAUGGCAGUGAUGCCUCGCUUCCACUCCACCACGCCCACUCCCCGCCUCCUCCGCCGCCUCUCCUCCACCUCCGCCUCCACCUCGGCGCCCCCACGCUGCUGGGAUCCCAGCGCCGCCCUCACCGCGGCCACGGAGCGCGUCCGCGCCGGGACGCUCAGCCCGGCAGACGCACACCACCUGUUCGACGAAUUGUUGCAGCGGCCAACCCCGGUCCCUGGUCCAGCCCUGAACGGCUUCCUCGCGGCCCUUGCCCGUGCUCCAGCCUCCGCCGCCUGCAGAGACAGCCCCUCCCUCGCCGUCUCUAUCUUCAACCGCCUGUGCCGAGAAGCCAGCCCACAUGGACAUGCGUCGCCUCUUACAGCCCACACCUACGGCAUCCUCAUGCGCUGCUGCUGCCGCGCGCGCCGCCCUGGCCUGGGGCUUGCCUUCUUCGGCCGCCUCCUCAGGACGGGCCUGAGGACAGACGGCGUCGACGCAUACGCCCUCAUCAAGUGCUUCUGCCUCGCAAAACGGACAGACGAGGCUGUCAGCGUGCUGCUCCAUAGGUUGCCUGAACUCGGCCGUGUACCUGAUGCUUUAUCAUACUCCGUUGUUCUGAAGGUCUUGUGUGACGAUGGCAGGAGCCAGCGAGCGCUCGGCCUGCUCCAGAUGAUGUGGAAAGAAGGAGGUGGCUGCGCCCCUAAUGUGGUGGCGUAUAGCACUGUCAUCCACGGCUUCUGCAAGGAAGGCAAAGUAAGCAAGGCAUGCGAGCUGUUCAAUGAAAUGGUGCAGCAAGGAGUUAAGCCUAAUGUGGUGACAUACACCUCAGUGAUUGAUGCGCUGUGCAAGGCAAGAGCAAUGGACAAGGCAGAGUCGUUCCUUCGGCAUAUGGUUGAUAAUGAUGUUCGACCCAACAACGUGACAUAUAAGUGUAUCAUCCAGGGAUAUUCCUCUUUGGGCUGGUGGGAAGAGGCAGUAAAAAUAUUCAGAGAAACGACAAGCCGGGGUCUUAUACUAGAUGAUGUUACUCGCAACUCGUUCGUGUCCUCCCUUUGCAACCAUGGAAGAAGCAAGGAAGCUGCGGAGAUUGCCCAUCAGAUAAUUGAAAAUGGAACAACAGUGAGCAUUUCCACAUACGGUAUAAUUCUUGGAGAACUUUGUAGGAAUGAUUGCACCGAGGAAGCAAUCGUACUGUUCCACAAAUUAGGUGCAGUGGAUGUGAAGUUUGAUAUUACAAUAUUCAAUACCAUGAUUGAUGCAAUGUACAGGGUUCGAAGAAGAGAAGAAGCUAACAUUUUGUUUGCUGCAAUAUCUGCCAAUGGAUUGGUACCUAAUGCUUCUACUUACAGAAUAAUGAUAACAAAUCUUUUAAAAGAAGGAUCAAUGGAAGAAGCUGAUCAUAUGUUCUCAUCCAUGGAGACGAGUGGUUAUGCUCCCAGCUCUGUUCUGUUAAAUGAUAUCAUUAGAAUGUUGCUAGAAAAAGGUGAGAUAGUCAAGGAUGGAAAUUAUUUGUCUAAAGUUGAUGGGAAGAGCAUCUCACUUGAAGCUUCAACUGGUUUGUUGAUGAGGCAUCUAUUUUCAACGGAAGGAAAAUAUCAUGAGCAAAUAAAAUCACUCCCUGAAAGGUAUCAAUUUUUUGGAGUCAGACACAGUUGAGUAGUUGAUUCAUUGGAUGUGUAUAACUCCUUGGAAGGUACAGUUUAUUUAUUCCAUUGCCAUCUGGGUCUCCUGCUGGUAUAAUAAAUGCAAAUUAGUUGCUUGUAGAAAAUCGGUCCUUCAUUUUUUCAUUCAGUUCAUAUCUGUGUAUCUAUUAAGCUUUUUUGGGCAUGGAAAGGUGGGCCACAUAGUCUAGCAGAACUGGUUGCAUUUUUAGGGAUAAUGGCUUCUGGUUGAACAGGGAAGGUAUAUAUAUGUGCUCUUUCCAUAAGAAGCACAAUGAACACCAAUUCUAGCUUUUCUAGCAUGGUUUGUUCCAACCACCCAGGAUUUUAUAAUAUCUCUAAAACAGUCACUUUCCUUGAUAUGAAUGCAUUUUUAGCAGAUAUCAUUCUCAGCUAUGCCUGCAAGGGUAGAUUUACUUUAAGUGUGGGGAAUUUGUGAUAUAUGUCAGGGAAAACGGGUCCCUAAUGAAGGGAUUUUUGAGAUUGCUGAUGCUAUGUUCAUUUAGUGGAUAUGAUGUCAGUAGCACUGAUGGAGAUUUUUGAAUACACUGCCGGCGAUGAGUGAUGUCUUUAGAAGAUUGCAGGCUGACGGGGCCUCUCUUCCUUGACUGCCCUAGCCCUUGGAGCUUAGUUGUUUGGUCGUAGUCCUGUCUGAUCGUUUUUUUAAUGAUAAACAGGCGUGAAUGUAGUCUAAGAACAAUAGUGUGGCGUGCGUAGCGUGUUUGAAUGGCUGCUGUAUGGGUUCUUGUCCCAUUUCUUCUUCUUAAUAUAAUGAUACACAUAUCUCCUGCAUGUUUGAGAAAAAAGAGAUUGUUGAAUACAGGGAAAUGUAUAGCCAAGAAUUCACCGGUGCGAGUUUUCGCUUAAGUCCACAAGGCACCAACACCAUUUUGGUGACAGAGGAGAAGGAACUAAAGCA